AGGUAACCCCUUCCAAGAACCUUACAUGUUCGCGAAGGGUCUCCUCCCCCAGCUUUACAUUUGCGAAGAAGAAAUUAUGCCCGUGGGAUUUUUUCCACAUGUGUUCGCGAGAAGGACCACGCGAACGCGAAGGGUAAAAUCGCUGGGCACUGAACAACCAAACACCUGCAACUUUUUGAGUUCCAAAAGCCUUCCGAAAUACAUCCAAAACACAUCCGGGCCUUCGGGGCUCCUAACCAAACAUACAUUCUAAUCAUACGAAUUUAUCUGUGCGAUCAAAUCGCUAAAAUAACCUCAAUAACAAUGAAUAAAUACUCAAAAUCAAGAACUUUUCUCAAACUUCAUCAAGUAUCAAAUUUAGCAAUUUAGGUCUGAAUCACGUCAAAUGAUAUCUGUUUUUCAUAAAAUUUCAAAAAAACAUCUUAAAUCAUAUAUAAGACCUGUAUUGGGUCCCGGAACCAAAAGUUAUUUCCCCCCGAGUUGUUUUACAAAAUGUCCUGAUCAUCUCCCAAUGACUUUAUGAUUAACUUUUAAGAUUAGGCCUAAACUGUGCGUGCAUGUCAUGUCACUAGAAUCGGCGUUGAACAAAAGCAAAAUAAAAGAGUAAAGAAAACUAAACAAAGAAGGAGACUGGAGAUAAUAAAAGACUGAAAUUGCACUAGACAAACAGUGAAACUGUUUAAACAACAAAACAAACAGUCACAACCUUAAAACAAACCUAAAAAACAUUAAACAAACCACCACGAUUAAACAAGCUAGAAAAAAUGAAAGGAUAAGAGGGUUUGACCACAAGACAAUAUCCGGAUUACAACCCUGAAAAUAACUCGGACAACAGAAAUGACAACCUAAGCCAUCAAAAGCUUCUUUUCAGAUGACCCAAAAAUGGAGCGCUUUUCCAAUCUUAGUUACUGAGCUUCGCAUCAAUCUUUCCAAGAUCACUAUCUACUUCAACAUCAUUAGCUUCAGUUAACAGGUUCCCAAGAGGAUCCCCGUGCUCCCUGUCACUGUCAUCGAUCACAAUCCACUCUUCAUUGAUCAUUCUUUCUGCUUCCCUUUUCAAAUUACAACAACUCUCAAUACUGUGCCCUCUCACAUUGGAGUGUUAUGCGCAUCGUGCAGUAGGAUCAAAGCUUCUUGCCCGUGAAUCUCGAGAUCCGGGGAGCGGCUCAAUUAAGGCAGCCUACUUUAGCCUUUCAAACAGACUUGCAUAGGAUUCUCCGAGAGGGGUGA
rnacentral:lncRNA from 1 species